ACGUACAGCCAUACCACCCUGAGAGCGCCUCACCUGGGAAGCUAAGCAGGGUCGGCCCCGGUCAGUACUUGGAUGGGAGACCAGCCGGCAAUACCAGGGUUCUGUGACAA
rnacentral:rRNA from 1 species